rnacentral:snRNA from 1 species
GUGCUGUCUUUGGCAGCACAUAAACUAAAACUAGAGCAAUAGAGAGCUUCUCCUAGUCCCUGCACAAAUAUGACAAGAAAAUUUGUGAAGCAUUUAAAUGUAAU